CGUAGGCGGCUUUUUAAGUCGGAUGUGAAAUCCCCGAGCUUAACUUGGGAAUUGCAUUCGAUACUGGGAAGCUAGAGUAUGGGAGAGGAUGGUAGAAUUCCAGGUGUAGCGGUGAAAUGCGUAGAGAUCUGGAGGAAUACCGAUGGCGAAGGCAGCCAUCUGGCCUAAUACUGACGCUGAGGUACGAAAGCAUGGGGAGCAAACA
rnacentral:rRNA from 1 species